UUUUUUCCAUGACAAUGUAAUUUUUUUUUUUUUAAAUGAGAUUGGCGUGUGCAUUUUUAUACCUAGAAAAAAAAAAGUUUUGAAAUGGAUAUAAAGUUUUCAGAUUCCAAUACCGCAAAAAACAUUUAUCAUUUUACUAUCUGACUGCAGCCCAAUUUGUAAGUGUGGGACAUAGUUUUAUAAGGACAAUUUUAACCAAAAAGGAAAAAAAAUAAUAUAUAUAUAUAUAUAUAUUAUAUAUAUAUAUAUAUUAUAUAAUUGAGAAAAAUGCUUUAUACCAAAACGUUUCUUCCUUAUGAAAUCAUUCCACCAUGAGGGCCCACCCCCCUAACAAGACCCCACCCAAUCCCCAUGGGAUAUCAACCACCGCCACAAUGAGACUCAUCCCACUCCACCCGACACCCCAAUCACCAACAAAAACAAAAUAAUGAUAUCAGUUCCGAGAAGAGGUUGGAAAGCAUCUCUCGAGAGUCACGAGACUCGAAACUCAUGUACAGGCCUAGGGAGGGCAGUCCAGCGGCGGCCUUCAGUUCUUCUAGAACAUUCUCAAGAAAGGAAAAGGAUCAGUCUUUCCAUGAUAGUUACUUCGGAUUGGAGUACUGUCAAUAUAAAUCACACAACAUGGGAUCGAUACAAAUUUAACAUUAUUAAUUCCUAUGUGACGAUCACCCACAUGACCGCACGAGUUUAGCCUCCUUUUCUUCUUCCAUAAUAAAUAUAUGACCACAUCAGACCCGCUCAUAAACGUUAUUCGUCCAUGGGAACCAAGCACUCACUCCUUUGACCGUUUUUGAAUUCCUAUUCCCUGAGUAGCUUGUGGCUCUUCUAGUUGUUGCAAAUCCUCAUGUGGGGCUGGACACGGGGAGGGACUAUUCCAUGUUCUUCUGAAACAAUAAACGAGCUCUUUGUUUGUAAGAGACGAGCAGUUCACUUGUGUUUGAGUACGCCAAUGAUGUUAUUGUGAACGCUUCGAGCUCAAUAGAUGACGAGGGAAAGUGGUUUCAAGGGUGCAUCUAAACUACCCGAACAAUUGAUAAGUAUUUUCGUACCAAAUUUCGUUAGACACGUGCAAAUUCGUCCGAACCUCAUAGCAAAAGUAAGUUAGGAGUUAUUGGGUCUAUCGCAAUAGAAAUUCAACUUGUGGAUUUAGCAGAUUGCUGGUAUCUGGGAAUGAGGAGACAAGAGAAAAGUUUGCUAGCAGAAUUACUUCGUAGAUCAAACUGCAAAAGAAAAGGAGUUUGGAUGUGAAGUGAUGCGUUUCAGGGAAAGCAUUACGACUUAAAACAUUAAUGCUGGAGAGUAAUGAUAUACAAACAGAGAGGUAUACAGAAGAUGUGGAAAAAACAGAGAAGAUUUUUCCAAUCCAAUAAAACAUCAUCCAAGAGGACUGUUAUUUACCAAAAUGUCAUUGCUACAUCAUUCUUGUGGUGUUAUGUAUGAAUUAUCCCGUACGUAUCAUUUUCCCGAGUGAUUAAAAAUACAUGUUGAACGAAGCCAUUCCUCGCCACAGCUAUAAAUACGUAAGGACUUCCAGGGCUCACGCAAGACUAUGCACGCGACUUUGUUAGUCACAAUUAACCUACUCUUUUAAAUUCUCUCGAGGGGGGUCUAAAUUGGUGUUAUUAUUGUAUAUUAUUCAUGAAAAGUUACGUGCUUUUGAUAGUGUAUGACAAUUUUAAAACAUGUUAAUAAUGUCUUGGGAACUUGUUCGCUUAGCAUCGAGCUAAAUGUGGUGAUGUAUUGUUGAUUGAAACCUCAGCAACUAUGGACGGGCUUGACGCUUUCCGGGCAAGGGGAUGGAUGAGCAACGUUAUUGUGACAGGAUUGGGAGUACAAUGUAAAAAAGCAAUUGAUGGCUGCCACAAGUUGGAAUGUGAUCAAUUGGCGGGUUACUAUGUUCCCUACGUCGGAGCAAUCUUUGCCGACUCCUUUCUGUUAGAAGUUUCAAAGUUUAAGGGGUCAGUUUGGAUUUUUUUCAAAAAAGGUCUUUUCUUUAGAAUGAAUCAUGUUAAUUUGGGUUUUCGUUCUACGUUGGGAGAUAUAGAAAAGUUAUCUCUUCUAUAAAUGGAAAGGGGGGAUAACUUCAUACACAAACCUGAGGUUUUUCAUAAUUGCACUGAAUCCCCUGUAGUUUAAACAUGGCACUGACCUCCCAUAUCAGAGCAAAAAAUAACCAUUAUACCCUGACCCCAGCCCCCCUCCCACCCCGAAUUUGUUAAUUUUUUUUUUAGUUUUUCUUUAAUCAUUUUAUUUACUUUUUUAAUCUAAUUUAUUUUUUUUGAUCAAUUUCUUUUGGAUAUAAAUAAUUUUUUUGAUUAUAUGUUUGUGUUUUUUUCAGUUUUUUUCAUCAUUAAUUUUAAUAAAAAAUAAAGAAAAAAUAAAUAAAAAAGAGAACACAAUUAGUUCACAAAUAAUCUGAUCAUUACAUUUAAAAAAUUAUACAAACUUUUUAGUUGUAUGUUAUAUAAAUUAUUAAAAUGUCUUAAAACUCAUUAAUUAAAGGCCAAUUUUGCUCUGGACAGGGGAGAGGGUCAGUGCCAUUUUCAAAAACCACAGGGGAGGUCAGUGCCAUAAAAAAACCCCACCCCUCAGGGGGUGUGGAUGAUGAAGUUAUUUCCUAAAUGCGAAAGAUAUUUAAAGUAUUAAAUAUGUUUGGAUCUAAAGGGGCUAUGAUAUGGUGCGGAGCACGAUAAUACUUUAUAGUGCAGGAGCACCAUAGCCCCACACCCGUGUGUGUGGCAGUGGGCUGUGUGGCACUUUGAUGGCAGAUUAUUUUGAGCAUUAACGCGCUUUGAAGUAUACCGUAUUACUUUGAAGUGUACCGUAUUUGAAGACACCGCCACACAUCCAACUAUUUCAUCCAACACUUUCUGAGUUGUUUCGCUGUCAUCUGGAUUUCUUCUCCCAUCUCUUUGCUGGUAAAUUUGUAUUUUCACUCCAUAAUCACAUUAAGUUAUCGCAAUCUUAUUGUUGUCUCUUUCUAAUCGGUUAUUUCUCAUGUUGAACGAUUGAUUUACAAGCAUCUCUGAAGGUAAGUGCCGGGAGGCAGGGGUUUUUUUUUUUAAAUAGGAAUGGAUAGGCAUAAGAAAAAGGAAGAGAAAAUUUAGCAAGCGACCAACAAAAGAAGUUUUUUGGGGGGCCGGGGUAGAAAGGUAGAAAAUGAAUUUGGUGAGUUAGUAAGUUAGAUUACUGCGAAUUGGCAUUCAAUGGUUCUUUUGUAAAUUCAAACCCAAAACCCUCCCCCAUGGGAAAAAAGAGACACACCCACUUGAGCUAAGCUCAAGUACAAAUUUGAACAAGGUAGCCAGAUUUUUUGUUGGUUUGAACAUGAGAGAUGAUAAUGAAUAUUGGAGAAGAAACAAUUAUUUCCUUUGGAAGGGUUGCAAAAAGGUGCGGAUUGUGUAGUUUCUUCAUAACUUCCUAUUAAAAGUGGACCUUUCCCCCCCCAAAUACUACUAUUCUAAGUAUUGCUGAAUGAGUUUUUGCUUGAUGGGGAUGUCUAUGACUAACAAUUAAUUAUUUUUGCAAGCACGUUUUUAAGGACGGAUGGAAGGGAAAAUACUCCAAUAUGCUAUUUAUCAUUGAAUAGACAAGUCAUGCACAUGUAUCCUACACGAAUUUUUUUAUAUUACGAAUGGAUUAGUGAUAAAAGAAGGGAUUAGGAGCUCUUAAAACAAGGUCAAAUUAAAUGAAAAAUAUAUUUGUACUAGAACUUCCUGUAAAGUCGGUUUGAGAGGAGUCAGUAGACUGCAGCUUUCAAUAGGCCUCGUGUGUGAAAUUCAAAAUUCGAACAUUUUUUAAACUUAUUUCUGACUUGCAGGGUAAGUUCUUCUAGUCCUAAGUAGCCCACCACCGGACCCCUAAGGCCUCCACCAAGUGCCCUUGGAUCAAACCUCGAUCCCCCCAUCGAAACUCCAAUUUGCAGUCGUGUAUUUGGUAUGACUUUUGCCACUAUGGGGUCGCAGGAAACACGCUUACACGCUUGGCAAAAUAAGGGCCACUCAAUUCAAACAACCCCAAGCAUCACGGAAGUUCUUCAACUGGGUCAUCUCACCUUGUACAUAUCAUCUGACAAAAGCGCCACAGCGAUUGUGUAAAGUGAAGUAAUGUGAGUUGGGGGUUGGCCAGUGAUGUGGCAAAUGUUAGUUGGCUUAGCCUUUUUUUUUGUUUAGGAGCCAAUUCACCGCUGUAUUAGGCUCAAGGGAGCCCAUUCACGGGCUUGGAUCGUGUAUAGUUGCAGCUUUUCGGAAAGAGGAAAUUCUUGCUCUCACUCAAAGUUAUAUCCAUAGAGCACGUGGUGGAGAGGCAAUGGUGGUUUGCUUUCAACAACUACAAGUGCUUUCAAGUAGAAUAAAGAAAAUACCCAGCUUUUUACAUUUCCAAAUUAAUUGUAACAUAUUCUAGGUGAAUAUUUCCAUAUAUAAUUUUAGCCCUAGAUUUCACAAGUAAGACUUCCAGUUGAAGUUUUUACCCCCUGUUCAUAAGAUUCUUACUUCCUUUUUUAAUCAUUUAAAACUUAUUGUUUUACUUCAACAAUAAGAUUUGGUCUCAAAAUGGUCAAGAGACAAACGCACGAGUGUGAGCAACCUUAUUUCUUUUUUCAGACUGAAUAUUGGAGGAAAAGUUUUGAAGUUUGACACAAAAGUGUUUUCCAAAAUGUUAUAUAUGGUAGAAAGCAGGCAGGAGAGGAAUAGUAAAACAGACAAUUUGAAUUAAUGAAAAGCACACACUUCGCCCAAAAACAAUAGUUCUUUCCCUCUAAUUACAUUUUUGGAAAAAAAUUCCAAACGUUUAUAGCCAAUCAAAUGCCUCUCUGAUCAUCCUAACAAAAACGUGCUCUAUUACAGGUUCUAAACCGGGCAGCUCUGAAAACCUGAAGGGAACAUUGGAAUGAUGGCUUGAUCCAAAUUGUGGAAGAUAUGUACGUUGCAACAAGUAGAAAAGAUCUCAAAACCCUAAAUCAGUCUCUUCACACUAUGGUCCACUGGCAUAUUCAAGCACCCACUGCCCAUCCAAGAAGCUUAGCCAACUCAAGCACUCACCAUGGAUCGCCACCUCGGCCCACCUUCAAAAUCCCACCGGGUCUCCAGGAUAGUCUUCUAUUGGUUCCGCACCCCGCACAAUCAUCCUGCUGACCGGUUCUUCUUUUUUUUUUUUUACCCCGUGUGUGGCAGAAGAUCACUGGUUGAUUGCCAACAAGCCCGUUCAGCGAAAUAGGGAUUGGUCAAUGUGGCGUCCUAGUAUGGGCGUGUCAGCGGUGGUGGAAGUCUAGGCGGCUCAAAAUUGCCAAGACAUUUCAAGUCAAACAGUUCCCAUGUCUGUCUUAUGGUUAGUGCCACAACUAGCCCUGGGCUGCAGGGUAGGCAUUUCACUUCCCGGGAGGAAACACCAAUUUCAUUUUACCAGGAAUUUCCAGCGGCCUUGAAAAGUACAGCCCCGGCAAUGUGGCGAUGGUUAUCGGAAUCGGCGUAAAUAUUGAGCACUGCCCUGUUGGUGUGGUAGGAGAGCAACGGGUGGUGCCUAAUGAUAUAAAUCAGGGAGGAUGGAUCUUGUGUAUUGGGUUGGCUAUUCGGGAUUGGGUUUGUUAAUUUUGGGUACUAUUUGGGGUCUGUGUGCUUGGUUGUACAAGUAUGAAGGGCAUUGCAAAGGUGGUGGAUCUAUCUAAAUUCUAACUACAAUAUUAAUAUUAGUCUUCGUUGGUCAGCAAAUGCCUACCCCCCCCCAAUGUAAAGAAAAAGGUUUUUCUAUGGGAUUAUGAGCCCGUGUUUCAAGCUUCUUCAACCAUCUUAAGAUUAUCUGUAAAAAAUAGUCUUGGUAGUGAUUAUGCACUCUGCGUAACCAAAUGCACUCUGUUUGCCAAUAGAAUAAAGUCUUUAACGGUUUUGCCAAUUAACAGAAUUGCUCCUCUUUAUACAUUACACUCUUUUUUCUCCAAUUCAUCAUUCAUUCCCAAUUCUUUCAAGUUAGAACUCUGAUCUCCCAACUAGGCACCUUGCUUUACAGAAACUUGCAUAGGAAAUCACAUUGGUCUGUCUUUAGUAAUCAUCUUUACAAGUAAGAAUAAACCAUGUCUGUCUCCAUUAUGUAACAAUUAAAAAUCAAAUGGGUUUGGGUUUGUAGCAACAUAAAGCACACAGUCAAAGGGAGCUCCCCAUUCAAAACCAACACAAAGCCAAUGAAAUUUGAAGAUAGAGGAAAUCUUUGAUGAUUAAAUGAUCUUAGAAUAACAACCGGUCAGUUCUGUUUGUAUCGACAUUAUGUUACAAGGAAUCAAGCAAAUAGAACUAAAUAGAGGGGGAUACAGAAUUAUUUACUAUUUGGACGGUAAUAAGGGAAACGUGGUAUGCAGUUUGAAUGGACAGGUUUUGAAUGACAGAAAAGGGCGACGAAAAGGGAGAAUGGCCCAAAAUAACUACCACUGGACAAAGGACUCCACUGGGUACUCAUGUGGGAGGCAUGCACAAUGUAAUCCAUGCACAACUGCUAUCGUCGAAGCAUUAUUCCUUUAGAGAGGUGAUUGAAGCGUUCCAAAAAUGGCUCUUCCUCACUUCCAAUGACAUCUCGAUGAACCAUUGGUUCCAAGAGGAUGAAGUCUCUGACGCUAUUUAUGAUUGUUCCCAUGAAGAAGACAUAGGGAAGUCACCUCCUUCACCUUACCACUACAUGUAAUCGCUCAAAAGCUAUCAAAGUUCAAAAACCUGGUUUCAUUGUGUCAUCCACGACCAUGACCGGGAGGGCAGAGGCCCUAUCCUUGAAUGAGAAUUGUGUCAAGGCAUCCAGUUUUUAUCGUCUUAAACGGAUUCGGCUGCUUUUAGCUUCAUUGCAAGACCCAAGAUUUGGCUGUCACCAUAUAGAUACGUCCCAUUGAGCUGUCCUCUGUUUUUCUUCCUUUUUUGAAGGCAUUCCAAGCAUUGCCCAUUAUGAAUAUGUCCAACACGUGCAAGGAAACUUGAUCCCAUGCUUAGCUGCCAAUAUAAUUGAAAAACGUCUCUGAGGAUGCAAUCACAAGUACAUAAAGAAAUUUAUAUCCGUAAUAAACGAACUUGCGAUAUGGGUCUGUUGUCCUUAAAAGAAAAUUCUCUUAUUUAAAAAUGUAUAAAGAAGUUAAUCGCAUAGCACCUACCAACAGACACAAAGAAAUGGGCACAUUUAGUGAUUAUCUAGGAGUACCGCAAUUGAAAUAAUGAAUGUUUGAUCUGUUAUGUUUCUUAGCAUUUACAAAAAUUGGUGGCUAGUUAAUUCUUUUUGGUGGGACUUGGUUGGAUAAUUCAAAUCAAAAAUCGAAUCAUACGGUGGAUUGGUGGAUUCCUCCGAUAAAUUAAAAAUUUAAAUCACAUUAAUGAAAUAAACUAGUGUUAAUAAACAUGGUUAUCGAUCUCCAACAUUAGUUUCUUUUCAUGGAUAAGUAUCAUUAAUGGCAAACAACUAUUGAAUUAAAACUAAUUUGAAUUGCACAUCGUGCUGUGAGGACUAUGGGAUAGUCUACUGAUUGUGAUUCGA
rnacentral:lncRNA from 1 species